CCUACGGGGUGCAGCAGUGGGGAAUCUUGGACAAUGGGCGAAAGCCCGAUCCAGCAAUAUCGCGUGAGUGAAGAGGGCAAUGCCGCUUGUAAAGCUCUUUCGUCGAGUGCGCGAUCAUGACAGGACUCGAGGAAGAAGCCCCGGCUAACUCCGUGCCAGCAGCCGCGGUAAGACGGGGGGGGCAAGUGUUCUUCGGAAUGACUGGGCGUAAAGGGCGCGUAGGCGGUUUAUGCAGUCAGAUGUGAAAUCCCCGGGCUUAACCUGGGAACUGCAUUUGAGACGCAUAGACUAGAGGUCGAGAGAGGGUUGUGGAAUUCCCAGUGUAGAGGUGAAAUUCGUAGAUAUUGGGAAGAACGCCGGUGGCGAAGGCGGCAACCUGGCUCGAUACUGACGCUGAGGCGCGAAAGCGUGGGGAGCAAACAGGAUUAGAUACCCGUGUAGUC
rnacentral:rRNA from 1 species